rnacentral:rRNA from 1 species
UACGUAGGGGGCAAGCGUUGUCCGGAUUUACUGGGCGUAAAGCGCACGUAGGCGGUUUGUUAAGUCAGGGGUGAAAUCCCAGAGCUCAACUCUGGAACUGCCUUUGAUACUGGCAAGCUAGAGUCCGGAAGAGGUAAGUGGAACUCCGUAGUGUAGAGGUGGAAUUCGUAGAUAUUAGGAAGAACACCAGUGGCGAAGGCGGCUUACUGGACCGUUGUUGACGCUGAGGUGCGAAAGCGUGGGGAGCAAACAGG